UCCCCCAUUGAAGGGCAUAAGAAACUUGAGGUUAGCCUUCUUUUCAUCCCAAAAAUUCAGCGUUCCAAUAACAAAAGUCAUAGAAUUAAUCCUGUUAAAUUGAUCCAAAGUAAUCAGAAUCGAUCAAUUUCAAUCAACCGAUUCAAUAGAUCCGAUUCUGAUUUUUGAAACGGAUAAUGCCAUCUCUUUUGACAUUUAAGAUUCAACGGCUGCACAAAAAAAUUCAACAGCUGCGUCUUCCCUCUUCUAAUCAGAAUUCACAACUAGUCAGGACUCGGGAAGGGCAAGCAGAGGCAUCUACUAGCAUGUGAUCAAAGAGUAGGGUGGUCUUUUCAUGUUCAUUUAUGUCUAGGCAUAGGGUGCGGUAAUUGGUUGUAUGACUUGAUACACCACCUCUUUGUAGAGUAUCUAUCCGGUGAGUAUAUGGAAGGUCAUAGACUGUUUUGAUUAUUCUUGGCCUUCGUCGAGUGACCUGGAGAACCUAUGGCAAUGGUGGCUCAGGAAGAGGAGAAUAGUGAGUCUGAAGGAAGUUUGGACAGUCACUUUUGUUAUAGUAGCUGAUAACCUUUGGAGAGAAUGUAAUGAAAGAAGUCAUGAAGGGAAAGCUAUGAAUGCAGACCAGAUUUUUGAAAACUAAAUAUGAAAUGACGGAUUCUUGCUGCAGCCAGGUUGUGCCAAUUAAUAGCCAAGCGGCUCUCAUCAAUGGUCAGAGAUUAGUUAAACAUUGAUGGGCCUUCAAUGGGGAAUCCAGAACGAUCAGGUACGGGAGGCAUCCUCCGAGAUUGCACAGGAAGAACAAUGUGCUCAUUCAUCCUAUUUCUUAGAACUCAGACAAAUCACUUUGCUGAAUUUCAGACACUCAUUGAAGGUAUAAAAAUGGUCAGCAUAAUUGCAGUGGAUUCGCUUUGGAUUGAGAUAGAUUUAUUAGCAGUGUGAUCUUGGUUCAAUUAAAAAUCAUUACAUGGUAGGCAAUGCGGGAAUGGUUAACACUUCAACUAUAUCUCAGUUCAAGAAUGUGAAAGAUCACUCACUAUUAUAGAGAGGCGAACCCAAUCGUUGACUACCUAGCAAAGGAGGCUGCAAAAUUCAAUUUGUCUGUCUAUAAUUCAGCUUUCCCUACCCUUAUAAGGAAAGAGAUCGAGUAUGAUGCUACAUCAAGACCAAGAUAUCAGUUCUGUUAGAGGAUUAUAACCUUAUCACUUCUAUUGUGAAAAGAAUCCCUACUAACUGCCUUACGGUAGGUGGGGAUUUUUUCUCUUGCUUAGUAAGUUUCUUGAUGUACUUUGUUUCUCUUAUUUAUGAAUAAAGUUAUGAGUUUCUAGCAAAAAAAAAAAA